rnacentral:pre_miRNA from 1 species
AGUGAGAUAGCUGGGUCAUAUGGUGGUUCCACCCCUAGUUUUUUGAGUAAUCUCCUUACUGCUUUCUAGAAUGAUUAUACUAGUUUGCAGUCCCACUAACAAU